UACGUAGGGGGCAAGCGUUGUCCGGAAUCAUUGGGCGUAAAGAGCGUGUAGGCGGCUCGGUAAGUCCGCUGUGAAAGUCCGGGGCUCAACCCUGGAAUGCCGGUGGAAACUGUCGAGCUAGAGUCCGGAAGAGGCGAGUGGAAUUCCUGGUGUAGCGGUGAAAUGCGCAGAUAUCAGGAGGAACACCAAUGGCGAAGGCAGCUCGCUGGGACGGUACUGACGCUGAGACGCGAAAGCGUGGGGAGCAAACAGG
rnacentral:rRNA from 1 species